rnacentral:tRNA from 1 species
GGGCGGCUAGUUCACCGGUAGAACGCCUCUCUGAUAAGGAGGAAGUAGAAGGUUCGAUUCCUUCGCCGCCCA